AUUGAACGCUGGCGGCAUGCCUUACACAUGCAAGUCGAACGGUAACGGGCCUUCGGGUGCCGACGAGUGGCGAACGGGUGAGUAAUGUAUCGGAACGUACCUUUCAGUGGGGGAUAACGUAGCGAAAGUUACGCUAAUACCGCAUAUUCUGUGAGCAGGAAAGCAGGGGAUCGCAAGACCUUGCGCUGAUUGAGCGGCCGAUAUCAGAUUAGCUAGUUGGUGAGGUAAAGGCUCACCAAGGCGACGAUCUGUAGCGGGUCUGAGAGGAUGAUCCGCCACACUGGAACUGAGACACGGUCCAGACUCCUACGGGAGGCAGGCAGUGGGGGAAUUUUUGGGACAAUGGGGGGCAACCCUGAUCCAGCCAUGCCGCGUGAGUGAAGAAGGCCU
rnacentral:rRNA from 1 species